UUCUAACGAUUUGUGUUUUUUUCCAGGUACAGGCGCUUGCAGAGGACGAGAUGGGCAGAUGAUUGCCGAGACGCUGCACUAGGACUCGCAGGCGGUGCUGCUGCUGACUGACGUGGAUUAACAGGUAAUGCUGUUGCAGAUGGACUUGCUGGACGAUACGGUGGAUUUGACGAUGGACAAGAUGCUGCAAAUGGCUGCUGACUGUCAGAUGGAUUGGACGAACAGGAAACUGGGCGAGACGAUGGACAUGAUGCACGACGAGAUGCUGGACAAAAUGCUGCU